rnacentral:sRNA from 1 species
AUCCACUGACGAGCAGGACGCUGGUCAGGAUCAAGGACGAUCAGCCAUUGCCCGGAUGCUACUGACAGGGAGUUGGAAUGGUUUUGGACACAAACCCGCUUCGGCGGGUUUUUU